UCUCCCCUCUUCUUCUUUUCUCUUUCCUCUCUUUUCCAAUCCCCUCUUUGUUUCGUUCUUAUCCUCCUUCUUUCCACUCUUUCUCGUCCUCCUUUCUUGUGUUAAAAAAAAAUGGCGAAGGUGGCUACACAAAUUGAAAUUUGUGUAUUUGAGGUUCGAUCAAUUUCGUGACGUUGAGGGUUUUUUUUGUCAAAUUUGACGAUAAAAAUUCCAAAUCUGGAGAUUUUAUGGUCGAAUUUGACAAUCAACACCGAAAAAAGAUGAAAUUUUCGAAGGUUUUUGAUGAUUUGAUGCAUAUUGUAUCUUUGUGUAAGGUGGUGGUGGGAAGGGGGAUAUAAUGGUGGUGCACUGGUGCGAAAGGCUGUUGAGGGAAUUGGGGGCAGGGAAGCCUAAGUAAGAGUGGGACAGAGGAAGGGCUUUUUUUUGUGACGGCCAACCGUCGGUAAUACCAUCUUACGACGAUUUUGUUUUCUCUCAUAACUUACGACGGUUUUAAACUGCUGUAAAAUAAUUACAGCGACAAAAUAAAAAACUAUCGUUGAAAUUAGCAAAGCUGUCGUAAAAAUUCUUACGACAGUCAAACUGUUGCAAAAAUAAAAAUUUUACAACAAUUCUGACUGUAACAAACAGUUUACGAUAGUUGACUGUUGCAACUAUUUUUUGUGACAGUUUUUGCUAUUUGUUGCAACAAAUUUGGAUGUCGCAAAAUAGCUUAUCUUGUAGUGU